UUUUUUCUUUCAUUGAAUAACAUUCCAUUGUCUGGAUAUACUACAGCUUAUCUAUUCACUUAUCCCAAGACAGCUUAGUUGCUUUCAAUUUCUUGGAAUUACGAAUAAAACUGCUGUAAAUAUUCAUGUGCAGGUUUUUGUGUGGACUUAAGUUUUCAACUUAUCUUGGGUAAAUAUCUAGGAGCUAUGUUUAGCUUUGUAAAGAAACCACCAAAAUCUCUGCCAAGGUGGUUGUACCAUUUUGCAUCCCCACCAGCAAUAUAGGAGAGUGCCUAUUGCUUUACAUCCUUGCCAGCAUUUGGUGCUGUUAGUGUUCUGGAGUUUAGCCAUUCUAAUAGGUAUAUUCUUUUUUCUUGUCUUUUAUGGGGGGGAGGGGCUGUUACUUUUUAUUAUAUUUAAAACAAUUAAAAAUACAUUGUAUACACACUUUGUGUGUGUGUGUAUAUAUAUAUACACACACACAGUUGCAUUCCAUAUAAAUACAUAUGUGGAAUAUAAAUUUAUAAAAAGGAAAACAAGAAACGGUGAAAAUUUGGGAUUAUGUUUACCCCAGGUGAAGGGAGGCAAGAGGAUCACUUAGUGUAUGUGUAGGGUGGGAGGCAAAACAUACAUUUGGUUGUAAAUUUUUGUCAUUACAACUUUAAGGUGGAAAAUUCACAGCUAUUAUUACAUUAAGAGUAACAAUUAAUAAAGGUGGGUUGUAUGUGGUCUAUGUCCUAAUCCCCAGAAUCAGUAAAAUGUGUUAUGGCAGAAAUGGGACUUUGCUGAUGAGAUUAGAGGCAUGUUGAAUUGGGGAGAUUAUCCUGGCCCUGUGUAAUCACCACAAAGAGUCCUUGUAGUGAGAAAGGAAGGCAGGAAGAUCAGUCAGAAAGAAGCCUUAGAAACAGACGUCAGAGAGGAAAGAAGUUCCUAUGCUGUUUCUGAAGAGGGUGGAUGAGACUGAAAGCCAAGGGAUGCUGACAGCCUCUACAAGGUAGAAAGGCAGGGAACCCAUUCCUACCCUAGACCUCAGGAACAACCAGCCCUGCCAAUACCUUGAUUUUAGCUCUACUGAAACUGAUUUUGGACCUCUGGCCUCCGGAGACGUAAGACAGUAAAUUCCUAUUAUUUUAAGGCAUUAAGUUUAUUACAGCAGUAACAGGGAAUUAAUACAGUGGGCCAGGCAUGGAUCAAUGACUAAUUGCAGGGAUCCCUGGGUGGCGGAGCGGUUUAGCGCCUCCCUUUGGCCCAGGGCAUGAUCCUGGAGACCCGGGAUGGAAUCCCACGACCGGCUCCCGGUGCAUGGAGCCUGCUUCUCCCUCUCCCUCUGCCUAUGUCUCUGCCUCUCUCUCUCUCUCUCUAUCAUAAUGUGACUAUCAUAAAUAAAUAAAAAAAAUUUUAAAAAUGACUAAUUGCAUUAUGAUAAAACUGGCCCAAUACUAGGUCCAAUAAAAGCAGGCCAACAGGGCAGCCCGGGGGGCUUGGCGGUUUAGGGCCUGCCUGCCGCCCAGGGCUUGAUCCUGGAGUCCCACGUCGGGCUCCCUGCAUGGAGCCUGCUUCUCCCUCUGCCUGUGUCUCUGCCUCCCUCUCUCUCUGUGUCUCUCAUGAAUAAAUAAAUAAAUAAAACCUUAAAAAACAAAAAAAAUAAAGCAGGCCAACAAACACCCUUGAAUAACUCCUCACUGUUUCAAAGACAAAGCUCAAAUCCUCGGCCUGGUACAAAUCCUCCACAACACAAUUCCAUAGAGCCCACCUCUCCGAGCUCUCAAGACCCCCCACUCCACCCACACCUUCCUUUCUUCUCCCUCCCCAAGUAACAAUAUAUAUAUAUACAUAUAUAUAUAUGUAUAUAUAUAUAUGUAUAUAUAUAAACCUUAGAUCCUGGUCUCUGCACCCUUUUGCAAUUCCCACUGGCUGUUAAGGGGUUCACCGCCCCCGCUAGGGGGAAUCUGAAGCUUUCCAGGUUCAAAUCCCCCUCCCCCUCCGCACAGGCCCGCAGAGCCCACUCUUUACAGCUGGGACCCCUGAGCUCGGGCAACAGGCUGGAAAAAUCUUGAUCACCGCCCUUCACAGUAACAUUGUGAUUCACACUCAGUAACAUUCUCCCGAAGAUGCUGGGGGGGUGGAGGUGGGGGUGGGGAGGGGAUGGAAGCGCACCGUGACCUGUUGCAAAAAAAAAAAAAAGAAAGAAAGAAAAAAAAAAUCCUACGGGGCUAGGGGAGCACUUUGGAAAAUAGCUGCCUCCUUUCUCAAGCAAGGCUUCGUUUCCCGUCUGCAUGAUGGAUGUCUGCCAACACGACCUUAAGUCUGUGCACGUCUCUGCCCGAACGUUCUUUUUUUUUUUUUUUUUUUCCUUUUCCCCACUCCAAGAAGUCAACAAGGGAUAUUCGGGGGCAUCAGCACUGCGCCUUACACUGACCCGAUGAGUCACUUUAGUGGAGGGCUGCUCCGCUCACCACAUUACCCGCCGCGAUAACGGAUGGGGAAACCUUUGAAACUUCUAAAGCAAUCUCCGCAGCCUACCUAGACCAGGAAUACCUAUCCGCGGGAAAACACGCCCCAAAGACAAGGCCAGACCUUAGGAAGCCCGUGGGGACCCAGCGAGCGCAGCUCCCGGCUCAGCCUGGACCCGACGUCGGCCACAGCCCCUCCAGCCCGCCGCGCGGGGACGGGGGGGGGGGGGCGACUGACGACCCCCCGUCGGCUGUUUGGAUGCACAGAGAACAGCUCGCCAAGGCCGGCGGACUCCGACACCACGCGGAGCCACAGCGCAGCUUCAGCCGCACUUGAAGAACCCGCUCUCAGGCUGGACGAGGGCGGAGCGGUAGCACAGGCUGAGCCAACUGGAGAGCCCUACAAUGCGGCGAGCGGUCCAAGACAGCCCCCCAGAGCGAGGCACUCUGGGACUCGUAGUUUACUUCCCGGUCAGCGCUUUUAAUUCCCAUCCCGUCCCCCGCUGCCUUUCAACGUCGCUUCUAUGCUCUCCCUCUCCUUCCAGCACGCCAACUUCCUGGUCGCCGCACGCCCUCACGUACGACUACACUACCCAGAAGUCUCUUCUUCGCGACCCAGCGCGCCGGGGGCGCCGGCAGUCUCCCGCGGACUACAGUUCCCAGAAGUCCCCUGGAGAAGCGCUUCCCUCUCUCCUUUCCAGGACCACAAUUCCCAGAACCUUCAGCUUCC
rnacentral:lncRNA from 1 species